rnacentral:rRNA from 1 species
GAGUUUGAUCGUGGCUCAGAGCGAACGCUGGCGGCAGGCCUAACACAUGCAAGUCGAACGAACUCUUCGGAGUUAGUGGCGGACGGGUGAGUAACACGUGGGAACGUGCCUUUUGGUUCGGAAUAACUCAGGGAAACUUGUGCUAAUACCGAAUGUGCCCUUCGGGGAAGAUUUAUCGCCAUUAGAGCGGCCCGCGUCUGAUUAGCUAGUUGGUGAGGUAAAGGCUCACCAAGGCGACGAUCAGUAGCUGGUCUGAGAGGAUGAUCAGCCACAUUGGGACUGAGACACGGCCCAAACUCCUACGGGAGGCAGCAGUGGGGAAUCUUGCGCAAUGGGCGAAAGCCUGACGCAGCCAUGCCGCGUGAAUGGUGAAGGUCUUAGGAUUGUAAAAUUCUUUCACCGGGGACGAUAAUGACGGUACCCGGAGAAGAAGCCCUGGCUAACUUCGUGCCAGCAGCCGCCGUAAC